GAAUAUAAAAAAAAAUAAAAAAUGCAAUGGAUAAUAAGGUUUUCAGGGUUUAUAUCAGCAAUAAUGGUGAUGAUAGUAUUAGCUCCAUCAUUACAGUCAUUCCAUCCAGCUGAAGCAAUCAGAUCUAUUCAUUCUCCGGCGACCACCGACCAUUUUCCGGCGCCGGAAAACCCACAUUUCCGACGAGCUUCAUCUUUUCGUAAUGCAGGUACUUGUGAACUAAAAUCUGGUAACAUUUGUGACCCUUAUAUUGUACACGUAGCCAUUACGCUUGAUUUCGAGUAUUUACGAGGUUCUAUAGCUGCUGUACAUUCUAUAUUGCAACAUUCGACUUGCCCCGAAAAUAUAUUUUUCCAUUUUCUUGUGUCGGAUAAUGGUAAACUGAAAGAAUUAGUGAAAACCACUUUCCCUGAGUUGAAAUUUAAAGUGUAUUAUUUCGAUCCGAAUGUCGUUAAGCGGUUUAUAUCGAGUUCGGUUAGACAAGCCUUAGAAAUGCCCUUGAAUUACGCUAGGAAUUAUUUAGCCGAAUUAUUAGAGCCUUGUGUGAAAAGGGUGAUUUAUCUCGAUUCGGAUUUAGUACUUGUUGAUGAUAUUGGGAAACUUUGGAGUACCGAUUUGAAAGGGAAGACGAUUGGGGCGCCCGAGUAUUGUCACGCGAAUUUUACAAAGUAUUUUAGCCACGGGUUUUGGAGGAACAAGGUUUAUUCGGGGACGUUUGAUGGUAGGAAACCGUGUUAUUUUAAUACGGGUGUGAUGGUUAUGGAUUUGGGGAAAUGGAGACAGUUUGGAUACACGAAAAGGAUCGAGAGAUGGAUGGAGAUACAAAAGAAUGAUAGGAUUUAUGAACUUGGGUCGUUACCGCCUUUUUUGUUGGUGUUUGCUGGAAAUGUGGCGCCGAUUGAUCACGGUUGGAAUCAACACGGGUUAGGUGGGGAUAAUGUGAAAGGAAGUUGUAGGGAUUUGCAUCCGGGUCCGGUUAGUUUAUUGCAUUGGAGUGGAAGUGGGAAACCGUGGUUAAGGCUUGAUACGAAAGAGCCUUGUCCUUUAGACGCAUUAUGGGCUCCUUAUGAUUUGUAUCGACAAGCGUUGUGAUUGUUUUGGAUUAUUAGAACGAGCUUAAUGCCGGUUGCUCAUGUGUACUGCAUUGGUGGCUUGUUUGUUACGCAACGAAUGUGUAUGUGUAACUGCCUUCUAUUUUGGCAAAAAUCGUUACCCCCACAAAGUGCAAGUGAAGUAACAAAAAGGCUUCUAAUCUCCAUGCUGCAAAUAGCCAUUGUGCAUUUGAAGAUUGUUGUAAGGAUCAAAAUGUCAAAUAACUAAUGGAAGUCAACUUGUAUGGAAGGUCCAUGUGUGGGUUUUGCUUGUACAGUUGUAGCAUCCAUAUUCUUCUUGUCAUUUAGGAGUGUACAAAACUUGGGUUUAAACCUUAAAGGAGAAAUGUAACGUUCGAUUUUUUGAUGAUUGCGAAAGAUUUUGUUCUGUUUCCGUCUGGUCCAAUACAAAGCCUUGUCUUGUA